AGGAGGAGGAGGAUGAGGCUCAUGCUGCUGAUGAAGAGCAGAACUGUGGGACUGACGGCACGAGAGCGGCCACAUAUAAGCUCUAUGAAGAUCGUGAGGUUUAAAAGACAAAAAGUGCAAAUAAUUGAGUAGUUUUUGAAGAAGCGUGUGGAAGUGGCGUGAUCUUCAGUCUGCAGCAGAGACGUGACUCGGUUCCUCCGUCAGUCAGCCUGGGGUUUAUGAUCCAGCAGCUCCGCCAGUCACACCACUGAUUCUUUGAGCUGGUUUUCAUAAAGGAUCUGUUCACACUCGAGUGUGUGACGCGCAGCUUCAUGAAGGAUUUACAGCAGGAGCCACG